rnacentral:rRNA from 1 species
UAGUCAUAUGCUUGUCUUAAAGACUAAGCCAUGCAUGUCUAAGUAUAAGCACUUGUACAGCAAAACUGCGAAUGGCUCAUUAAAUCAGUUAUAAUUUAUUUGAUGGUAAAUACCACUUGGAUAACCGUGGUAAAACUAGAGCUAAUACAUGCAUAAAAACCUGACUGGGAACGGAAAGGUUGUAUUUAUUAGAUACAAAACCAAUACUUUAAUGGAGGUAACUCUUUAUUAAAGUUAAAAUUGGUGAUUCAUAGUAAUUAAACUAAUCGUAUAGUCUUUUGUACUGACGAUAGUUCAUUCAAAUAUCUGCCCUAUCAACUUUCGAUGGUAGUAUAGAGGACUACCAUGGUGGUAACGGGUAACGGAGAAUCAGGGUUUGAUUCCGGAGAAGGAGCCUGAGAAACGGCUACUACUUCCAAGGAAGGCAGCAGGCGCGCAAAUUACCCAAUCCCAAAAUGGGGAAGUAGUGACAAUAAAUAACAAUAUUGGAUUUUAUAAAAAAUCUAAUAAUUGGAAUGAGUACAAUCUAAACCCCUUAACGAGUAUCAAUU